AUUGAACGCUGGCGGCAGGCCUAACACAUGCAAGUCGGACGGUAGCACAGAGAGCUUGCUCUUGGGUGACGAGUGGCGGAUGGGUGAGUAAUGUCUGGGGAUCUGCCCGAUAGAGGGGGAUAACCACUGGAAACGGUGGCUAAUACCGCAUAACGUCGCAAGACCAAAGAGGGGGACCUUCGGGCCUCUCACUAUCGGAUGAACCCAGAUGGGAUUAGCUAGUAGGCGGGGUAAUGGCCCACCUAGGCGACGAUCCCUAGCUGGUCUGAGAGGAUGACCAGCCACACUGGAACUGAGACACGGUCCAGACUCCUACGGGAGGCAGCAGUGGGGAAUAUUGCACAAUGGGCGCAAGCCUGAUGCAGCCAUGCCGCGUGUAUGAAGAAGGCCUUCGGGUUGUAAAGUACUUUCAGCGGGGAGGAAGGCGGUGAGGUUAAUAACCUCGCCGAUUGACGUUACCCGCAGAAGAAGCACCGGCUAACUCCGUGCCAGCCGCCGCAGUAA
rnacentral:rRNA from 1 species